UUUCCGUAGGUGAACCUGCGGAAGGAUCAUUACCGAGUGAGGGUCUCUCAGGCCCGACCUCCCACCCUGUGUUUUUGUGACCCUGUUGCUUUGACGGGCCCGCCUCGAUGAGGGGCCGCCGGAAGCUCACCGCUUUGGGCCCGUGCCCGUCAGUAGCCCCCUUAAAUUCUUAAUAAACCUGUCGUCUGAGUUAAUGGAUAUAAUGAAAAGAAACUUUCAACAACGGAUCUCUUGGUUCUG
rnacentral:misc_RNA from 1 species